CCUGGUUUGUGCAGCUGCUGCCUGCGGGGCUCUGCCCCUCCUCGCCACAGAAAAGACCUCUUUCCCCUGCUGCUGCUGCAGUUCUGGCUCAGAAUGCAUCGCUCUCGCCCUCCCCGCAAGGAAGCAGCUAUAAAACAUUUGGCGAUGAGAUUUUGAACCAGCUAUGCAUGUGAGUAUGCAAAGCUUGUGCAGGUUCCUGCAUCUUCAUUUCUGUGCAUCACUGGGCCUACAUCCCUGAACUGCUGUAUUCUACUAUUGCUGCUGCUGGUUGUUUCUCCAGCUUCCUGACAUGCACAACCCCUGAAGGAGAACCUGCUCUUCUCUGAGAACAAUGGAGGCCCUAUUUCUGCAAUUACCUCCUCAACAUACAGACCCCUGAUUUUAGUCCAGCAAAGCAGAAGGCUAUAUUGCUUCAGUGCCUGGGCCCUGAAGGCCAGAGAAUAUAUACUCAUUUGCCCUUUCCUACCAACUUGGAAGGAGAUGCCAACCCUUAUGAAGCUGCUCUUCAAGCCUUAGAUGAUCAUUUCAACCCUACUUUAUUUAUUUAUCUACUAUUAUAUCUACCUGAUAUAAUCAUCUCUAGGCAGUGUACAAAGUUAAAACACAACAAAUGUAAAAACAAUGUAAAACAGUUUAAAUUCAUAAAACAGAUAAAAACAAUCUCAGUAAAUAAAAGUAAUAAAAUUUAAAUUUCAGUUAAAAGCCUGGGAAAACAGGAUCAUCUUGAGAGUUACUUUGAAUGUUAUUGCUGAAUGUUACAAGUUCUAUUCUAGAUCCAAACUACCUGGUGAAUCUCUCGAUCAGUAUGUCACAACAUUGCAUGGCUUAAGUGUAGCCUGUGAGUUUGCCAACUUUACUGAUGAAAUGAUCAGGGAUCCAGUUGUUAUGAAAACAAACAGCUCCAAACUGCAUGAAAAACUGCUACUGGAGUGGAAUCUUACAAUGGAUAAAGUCAUAGAGAUGGUUAGCAAGGUAGAAAAGGCUCUUCACUGUGCCAAAUCCUUCUCUGUGGUGAUUCCUGAAAUCCAGGCUGUUCAGUCUAAAUCCUUCUAAUUCCAAUCUUCUCAUAUGGCACUGUCCCAGAAAGUGGCAGCACAAGAAAGGAGGAUCUACCUCUGCUACCAAAGUGGAGACUCUGCCCACAAAGCCAAUUUUGCUCACUGUCCUGCAUGGAAAGUCAUGUGCAACAGGUGCAAGAAAAGACACUUUGCUAAGGUUAGCUAGUCUGUUGUCUGCGCCAUUACUGCUUUACUAUAUGAUGAGGAUGGCAGAUGAACCACUCCUGACAGCAUUAUAAGUGUGACAGACUCAAGGCCUGCUUCUCCACAUUAUCUAGUAAAAUUUAAUGGCCAUGAAGGGCGGGUAUUGGCUAAUUUUGGUUCUCCGUACACUAUCAUUUCCCAUUUUAACAAGAAACUCCUUACUAUAUCAGAUCUGCACCUGCAGCCUUCAGACAUCCACCCAUAGGGAUAUGAAGGUACCCCUAUUGCCAUAAAUGGAUAUUUCACUGCUGUCUGGGAAUGCCAAGGAAGCACUGCAGAAGGGAAAGUGUAUGUGUCAAGGAGUCUCAAUAUAGGGCUGGGAACAUCAGAAAGGAUAGUGUUAGACAGUUGGACCAAAUAGCCCUGCCUGUGCAGACCUGUCUCAGCUGAGGAGGUUUGUUUUUGCAGCCCCAGAUCUUCUGAAGCAUCUGCUUGUUUGCAGCCUGAUUGCUGUCCUAUUCCACCUGUGCCUUCUACUGGAGAGCUUGAUUUGUUCCACCUGUUCCUAAGGACCAGAGAACUCUUGUGAGAGGGGAGAUUUCUGGAGCCCUUGGGAGCAUGGAUAGGAAGAAGACACACUGGAGGGGGAGCGAACAGUGGAGCUGGUGGACUGCCCGUAGGCGGCCUCCAAAGGGGGCUGGCUAUUGGUGCUGGGCCUUCGGUGUGGGACUGGGGUCUGGGGGGAGGUUAUAUUAAGACGGAGUUGGGGGUUUUGGUUGAUGUUUGUUAGUCCUUUUAUUGGGUUGUGCCAGGCCUGUGUUUGGGCUCUCUUAGGCAGAGUGACGCGGGGGGUGCGCCCGGCAGCUCUGAGGCAGCUAUUACUGUUGUGGUGGGGAACAGAAGAAUUGGCGUUGGCAGAGCAGCUGGCCGUUACAGGGGAAGGGAAGCUAGUAAUUUAGUAACUGAUUCCACUUCCGGCUGCCCUGUCAGCUCUCUGGCCUCGGGGAGCAGUUCCAACUUCCCACAGAACCUAGCCUUGCUCUGCUACAAUGCCCGGUUGGUUCAGAAUAAGACAGAAAUUAUCCAUGAUUUGAUCAUGGAAGAGGGAGCUGACCUGGCUUGUAUAACUGAGACCUGGAUGUGGGAUGCUAGUGACCCAGUUUGGGCCCAGCUUCUCCCACCGGAUUACUCUGUUGUGGAGCAGGCUAGGGGAAGUGGGCGGGGUGUGUGUGGAGUGGCUGUAGUCCAUAGAAAAUGCAAUACCUGUACAACACAACAUGAGGAAAGUACCCAUAGCAUUGCACCAGCCACUUAAAGAGGAGCUUUCAAGACUAACGCAUGCUGACAUCAUAGAACCUGUUGGUUCAUGAGAGCAAAGAGGCACCUUUUAAAAGUGGUGAUGCUCUUUAUUUAGCAGGGGGAGAGCAACUGGCCCUAUCCAUCCCCAGCACAGCAUCCCUCCAGUGGCUGUUGCUGGUGUCUGUCUUAUUUUUCUCUUUUAGAUUGCGAGCCCUUUGGGGACAGGCAGCCAUUUUUUAAAUUAAAAAAAUCAUUUAUAUAUGUAUGUAUGUAUUUAUUUAUUUAUAUCUAUGUAAACUACUUUGGGAACUUUUGUUGAAAAGCAAUAUAUAAACAUUUGUCAUAUUCGUAUUCAUCAGAAUGGGUCUCUCCCACUGUUUUUGUACGAAAAUCAAGCAGUACACUUCGAAUGUGCAUAGAUGUAAGAGAUGUGAACUCCAACAUGGUAGUGGAUUGUCCUCCAUUAUCUAAUAUCAAUGAAAUGCUGCUUACUCUGAAAGAGGCCUCCAUGUUCAAAACGUUGGACUUGUUUUCGGCCUAUCAUCAAAUUCCUCUGCUCAAAAGUUCUCACAAAUACACAACCUUCAACACCCCAGAGGGACUUUUUCAACUCAAAAGACUGCCCUUUGGAUUAGCUUUUGCAGCUUCGGUGUUUCAAAGAAUGAUUCAUGCAAUUUUUGGAACUAUGGAUGGCAUCACUUACUCUCAGACUGACAUUUUAGUGUAUGGAAAAACCAUUGAGGAGCAUGAUGCUAAACUGACACAAGUCUUAAGAACACUCUGUUAACAUGAACUUAUUAUCUCUGCAGAGAAAUGUCAAUUUUGCACACACUUGGUGACAUACUUGGGACACACAAUAUCUCAGAGUGGCAUACAUCCCCAAACAGACUUGGUGCUGCCUGCAACCUUGGAGAAGCCGCUGCCAGUCUGUGAAAACAAUACUGAGCUAGAUAGACCAAUGGUCUGACUCGGUAUAUGGCAGCAGGGGUGUAACUAUAAUAGGGCAAGGGGAGACAGUUGUCUGGGGGCCCACUGCCUUGGGGGGGCCCCAGAGGCAAGUCACAUGACUGACUCCCCCAGCCGCGCACCUGCCCGGGCUUCCUUCAGUUGUAUUCAUCCUCCAAAACUGAUGUGAGUGUUAAGACCUGGAGCUACCAGAACAGCAUGUCUUUCUCGAGUACCAUGAAAUGACAUGCAUCAUUCACAAUUUACAAAACCUUUUAAAAAAUAAUUUAGGAUGAUGUUCUAUUGUGGCACAUAGGAGAUAUAUAAUAAUAAUAAUAAUAAUUCAAUUUCUGUAUCGCCCUUCCAAAAAUGGCUCAGGGUGGUUUACAAAGAGAAAUAA